rnacentral:rRNA from 1 species
GGGUGACGAGUGGCGGACGGGUGAGUAAUGUCUGGGGAUCUGCCCGAUAGAGGGGGAUAACCACUGGAAACGGUGGCUAAUACCGCAUAACGUCGCAAGACCAAAGAGGGGGACCUUCGGGCCUCUCACUAUCGGAUGAACCCAGAUGGGAUUAGCUAGUAGGCGGGGUAAUGGCCCACCUAGGCGACGAUCCCUAGCUGGUCUGAGAGGAUGACCAGCCACACUGGAACUGAGACACGGUCCAGACUCCUACGGGAGGCAGCAGUGGGGAAUAUUGCACAAUGGGCGCAAGCCUGAUGCAGCCAUGCCGCGUGUAUGAAGAAGGCCUUCGGGUUGUAAAGU